GAUGAACGCUGGCGGCGUGCUUAACACAUGCAAGUCGAACGGGAUCCCAGGAGCUUGCUCCUGGGUGAGAGUGGCGAACGGGUGAGUAAUGCGUGACCGACCUGCCCCAUACACCGGAAUAGCUCCUGGAAACGGGUGGUAAUGCCGGAUGCUCCAGUUGACCGCAUGGUCCUCUGGGAAAGCUUUUGCGGUAUGGGAUGGGGUCGCGUCCUAUCAGCUUGAUGGCGGGGUAACGGCCCACCAUGGCUUCGACGGGUAGCCGGCCUGAGAGGGCGACCGGCCACAUUGGGACUGAGAUACGGCCCAGACUCCUACGGGAGGCAGCAGUGGGGAAUAUUGCACAAUGGGCGCAAGCCUGAUGCAGCGACGCCGCGUGCGGGAUGACGGCCUUCGGGUUGUAAACCGCUUUUGACUGGGAGCAAGCCCUUCGGGGUGAGUGUACCUUUCGAA
rnacentral:rRNA from 1 species